rnacentral:rRNA from 1 species
GAUGAACGCUGGCGGCGUGCCUAACACAUGCAAGUCGAACGGGAACUAUUUUUGCUGAGCUGCUUGCAGAUCAAAAGGAAUAGUUUUAGUGGCGCACGGGUGAGUAACGCGUGAGGAUCUAUCCUUUGGUGGGGGACAACAGUUGGAAACGGCUGCUAAUACCCCAUAAGCCUAUGGGUGAAAGGAGUAAUUCGCCGGAGGCGGAUCUCGCGUCCUAUCAGGUAGUUGGUGGGGUAAGGGCCUACCAAGCCGAAGACGGGUAGCCGGCCUGAGAGGGUGUACGGCCACACUGGAACUGAGACACGGUCCAGACUCCUACGGGAGGCAGCAGUGGGGAAUAUUGGGCAAUGGGGGAAACCCUGACCCAGCGACGCCGCGUGAGGGAAGAAAUUUUUCGGAAUGUAAACCUCUGUUGAUGGGGAAGAAGCUAAUGACGGUACCCAUCGAGGAAGCCCCGGCAAACUACGUGCCAGCAGCCGCGGUAACACGUAGGGGGCGAGCGUUGUCCGGAAUUACUGGGCGUAAAGGGCACGCAGGCUGGAUAAUAAGUCGGAUGUUAAAAGAUGAGGCUCAACCUUAUUUUGCGUUCGAAACUGUUAUCCUGGAGUUUCGGAGAGGGAAGUGGAAUUCCCGGUGUAGCGGUGAAAUGCGUAGAUAUCGGGAGGAACACCAGUGGCGAAGGCGGCUUCCUGGCCGACAACUGACGCUCAUGUGCGAAAGCUGGGGUAGCGAACCGGAUUAGAUACCCGGGUAGUCCCAGCUGUAAACGAUGAAUGCUAGGUGUAGGUAUCGUAGGGUAUCUGUGCCGCAGUUAACGCGUUAAGCAUUCCGCCUGGGGAGUACGAUCGCAAGAUUGAAACUCAAAGGAAUUGACGGGGGCCCGCACAAGCGGUGGAGCACGUGGUUUAAUUCGAUGCAAACCGAAGAACCUUACCUGGGUUUGACAUGUACGUGUUAUGGAUCUGAAAGGUGAAAGACCCUGCUUAGGUAGGGAGCGUACACAGGUGCUGCAUGGUUGUCGUCAGCUCGUGUCGUGAGAUGUUGGGUUAAGUCCCGCAACGAGCGCAACCCUUACACAUCAGUUACUAACGGUAUGGCCGAGGACUCUGAGUGGACUGCCGGCGACAAGCUGGAGGAAGGUGGGGAUGACGUCAAAUCAUCAUGGCCCUUAUGCCCAGGGCUACACACGUGCUACAAUGGUCGGCACAACGGGGAGCGACCGUGCGAGCGGCAGCGAAUCCUUCAAAAGCCGACCCCAGUUCGGAUUGCAGUCUGCAAACUCGACUGCAUGAAAGCUGGAAUCGCUAGUAAUCGUAGAUUCAGCCAAAGCUGCGGUGAAAUGCGUUCCCGGGCCU